AGAAGAUUGACUUCUUUUAUUAGAAGAUCUACUUUAGAACAGGGGGGGCAACAUGAUUCACAGGUUAAAUUUUGGCUGAGGGAACAGAAUAUGGAUGUUGCUGCUGUAGGAGCAUUUGGAGCAGAGCUGUACGUACCUGCCCGUACCAGCUGUAUUCCAGCAUCGUAACCUCGGCCAACACCAGGUCUUUGGAAACUCAGAGCAAAUUCGUGGAUACCAACUGUUUCAUGGUUCAGUGUGAAUGACUGCACAGAAAACUAAAUUUUAAGACAUUGAAAAGCAAAAUGAAGAGGGAUCAGGCUGGAGUAGCAGCAAAGAAAAUGUACAGUCUGCUACCAUCAACUUUUUGAAAAUACAAGUCUCAAAGAAGUGUCCAGCCUAGUGCACAAGUGUGAAGAGACAUAAAGGGCAGCAUCAGUAAGUCUCCAGCAAUGACACUGAGAAAUGGGGCUAUCUAUGCAUGUGGCCCCCCCUAUUUUGCCUCCUUCUGAAGCUAAAGAGAAAGCCCUGUGAUUUGCUGUCAGCUUCAUCUGAGGUCAUUAUUGCAAUCAUAUGAGGAAACAGAGAAGAGCAUCUGAGGGGGGAGAACAUGGAAAGAAGCACACAGGAUAAAAUAACAAAGGCUUUUGUAAGAUUACACCUCCCUUUCUUUUUUCUAAUGCAUAGCAACUAGAUAUUGUCACCUUUUUAUUAUUAUCUUAAUGAGAAAUAGCCUAUACCCCCUUGUAUUGUAUUGACACUGUUGGUUUUAACUUUUGGCUGUGUUUUUUGAAUAUGUGCAUGCACACUCAUGUAAGCACAAGCAUAUUUUGUACCUAAACUAAAAUGCAUCAGAGUCACCAUCAAUGUACAAUUUAAUUUUAUUAGCUAAUAUAUCCUUGUGGUGUAAUUCUGAGAGUGUUUAUGUAACAGAAGUCCCAUGGCCUUUUGGAAGGGCAUGUGCUCUUCAGUUAGCAAGGGGGUUUGAAAAUUCCUCUUCAGUGCAUCUUCCUGCCUUCAGAAUCAAAGGCAGACUCAAGAACACAAGAUGUAAAAACCCAAUAAUUCAUUAAAUUAAUAUUUUUACACAAUAACAGACAUCAGAGACUAUAAUACAAUUAACAGAGAACUUUGAAUAAUCAGCUCUAGAUGCCCUCAGCUGUGACAGCAUUUUCCAGUUUGGAAGAUGUUCUUUACAGUAUUUGUCCCAGAGCCCUUAAUAUUAAUCCAUUCACCAGACUACCAAAAAAGGCAGUAUUUUCUGGUUUUUGAGCCAAAGACCAAUCGAUUUCUCAUCCUGAAAAACAAACUAAAUUGUCUUUAUUUUCUUUUCUAAAACAAUUCUAUUUUCUCUAUUUUUUUUAAUCAAUAGUAUAUCUGCAUAAUUUUGCAAUAAUUUGAUUAAUUACUCCCUGGUAUCCUACAGAUUAGCAACAAUCCACAGUUCAUGACUGCAAUACAUUGCCUUGCAGUGCUCAAAGUGGAAAUUAGAACAGCACAUGGCCAAUUAGUAUGUUCAAAUGCUGAUUAAUACUGUCAAUUUUCUUAAUGAAAACAUUAGGGACUAUGAAUACUAUGUGUAGGCAUCUCUUUAAAAAUAAUGCAUUUGCCAUAAAUCAUCAGUCUGGAUAUUGACAUAGAAUGCAUAGCUUGAUUUGCAAAGUUACUUUUCAGCUUUGUUUAUGUGCUGAGAUUUAGGUUUCCAGCUCACAGAGCCAAAACCAGAUGUAAUAAUUACCAGCACAAUGGCAACUGUACUGUGUGAGGGCUUCUGGGAGCAGGUGAGCCCACUGUGCUGAGUGGUUUGGCACUGGGGAAGGGUGUGGGGAAUUUAGCUGACUAGAGAUUGGAAAAGUACAAGGCCGUGGCUAAUUCCAAGUGCUGCACCUGCAAGAUAGCGUGUCCUUGGGCCUACCUGGGUAUGAUAACAAGUGGACAGAGAGACGUGGGAAAUAGGGAAUGUAGGCCCAAAGGAAUGAGGAAGAGUUGAUAGUAUAGUUUAACCAGUAGAUCGCUUAGCUUACAGAAUAUUCAUAAGCUUAUUAUUUGCUGUAUAAGUGUCUGAUGCUCUCUUCAAUAAACGGAACUUGUUUAUCACUCAUAUUGAGUGUCCGAGUCUCCCCUCACCAACAAAUGGCUCAUCCCCAACAAAGGCCUCAUUCUGCAACAAAUGCUGCCCGAACAGGGACCUAAAGGAAGUUUGAACUUGAGAGGCAUUCUGCAACAGAAGGGGCUCCUAAUGGAUGGAUGAGAAAAACAAAUUUCAUCAGCAAUCUGGAGUCAAAAUGAACAAUGUAACUUUGCAAUUUAGAUUGGGUUGUUUUGUUCCAUUUAGAUGACCCACUAAUCAAUACAACUAAUUGGGUUCAAAAAAGAUAAAAUCAUGAACAUUGAUAGUACAGCCUAUAAGGAUACAUGCUUGAAGAACUGUGUACCUCCAGAACAGAAAUCAAUACUUUUCAUCACCAACGUAAAGAAAUAAACACAAAAUCCUUUGAUUGGUACACUUUCUACUGUGAAGACACAAGAAUCCUGUCCACCCCAGACAGAUGGAAGAGGUAGUCUCUCUGUCACCCCACAUUUGUACCACCACACUGUGAAGUUCCUGUCCAAGAGAAGCAGCAGGAUCAGUUUAUGUUAAAUGCCUGGGACUGUAUAUGGACUAAAGAAGCUGAGGAGGACUCCGUACAGCCCUCUCCAUCUUCAUGCCCAGAGCUCACCUCACAGGGCACACCACUUUGCUGACAGCCUGCAGACACACUGGGCGUACAGCACAGUGGCACCAGCACAGAGGCAGCUCCUUACAGUCAAUAGGCACGACUGUGGUAUGCUCCUUUCCACUUCCACCCAGAAACCUCAGCACCCACCUCAGGCUGCUUCCUCACCCAGCUGGGCCUUCUGCAGCCCUUUGGUGUCCCUCCAGUAAGAGCCCUAGUACCUCCUAGGCAAUGCAAAGCAAUGUUCUCCAUGACCUUUGAUAGAAUGUUUGUCUUUCAGAUGAGAGAAGAACAAAUUCAAUUUCCAUGGACCCUCUAAUGAAAAUACACUCUAUCCUGUAUGGAAUGCAAAUUCAGAUCAGAUAUGUUUGACAGUCUCUCCUUAUGCAAAGUAUAUC